rnacentral:rRNA from 1 species
GACAGAGGGUGCAAACGUUGUUCGGAAUUACUGGGCGUAAAGCGCGUGUAGGCGGCUAUGUAAGUCGGGCGUGAAAUCCCACAGCUCAACCGUGGAAGUGCACCCGAAACUGCGUAGCUAGAGUCCUGGAGAGGAAGGUGGAAUGCUUGGUGUAGAGGUGAAAUUCGUAGAUAUCAAGCGGAACACCGGUGGCGAAGGCGGCCUUCUGGACAGUGACUGACGCUGAGACGCGAAAGCGUGGGGAGCAAACAGG